rnacentral:rRNA from 1 species
UACAGAGGUCUCAAGCGUUGUCCGGAUUUACUGGGCGUAAAGAGCGCGCAGGCGGUCGAUCAAGUCGCGUGUGAAAGCCCCCGGCUCAACUGGGGAGGGUCACGCGAUACUGAUCGACUCGAAGGCAGGAGAGGGUAGUGGAAUUCCCGGUGUAGUGGUGAAAUGCGCAGAUAUCAGGAGGAACACCAAUUGCGAAGGCAGCUCGCUGGGACGUAACUGACGCUGAGACGCGAAAGCGUGGGGAGCAAACAGG